CCCAAGAGAUCGGGAUAACACCUGGAAACAGAUGCUAAUACCGGAUAACAACAGAUGAUGCCUAUCAACUGUUUAAAAGAUGGUUCUGCUAUCACUCUUGGAUGGACCUGCGGUGCAUUAGCUAGUUGGUAGGGUAACGGCCUGCCAAGGCGAUGAUGCAUAGCCGAGUUGAGAGACUGAUCGGCCACAUUGGGACUGAGACACGGCCCAAACUCCUACGGGAGGCAGCAGUA
rnacentral:rRNA from 1 species